AACGUAGACCUCAAGCGUUAUCCGGAUUUAUUGGGCGUAAAGAGCAUGUAGGAGGUUUCGCGCGUCUUCUGUUAAAGCCCACCGCCCAACGGUGGAAGUGCAGGAGAUACGGCGAGACUAGAGGAUGUUAGAGGUACCAGGAACUCACGGUGUAGGGGUGAAAUCCGUUGAUAUCGUGGGGAACACCAAAGGCGAAGGCAAGGUACUGGGACAUUCCUGACUCUGAGAUGCGAAAGCGUGGGGAG
rnacentral:rRNA from 1 species